rnacentral:sRNA from 1 species
GCUUUAUGCCCGCUGUUGCUGGCGCGUGCGCGUAUCAGCCUUGGCUGGCUGGUGUAUGUCCGCUGGAUUGUGAGGCCCGGGAUCUGGGCUCCGCCGUGGUGCAGAAAUGCUGUGCCGGCUCGGCGGUCGGUGGCUGCGGCCGCUCCCUGCCCUGCAGCUUUGGGCUAGGGACCUGCCGCUUGCGCCGGUUCCUACGAGCGGCGCCAAGCGCCCCACUCUCCCAGUGUGGGCAGUGGCACCAGUCUCGGCAGUACAUGCGAACGGCUGGUACGAGGCCCUGGCCGCGUCUUCGCCGGUGCGGGUUGCGGAGGAAGUACUGCUCGGCGUGCACGCCGCCACGGGCCUGCCCUGGUGGGGCAGCAUUCUGCUCUCCACCGUGGCCUUACGGGGUGCUGUCACGCUGCCUUUGGCAGCCUACCAGCACUACAUCCUGGCCAAGGUUGUGAGCAUGGGGAAAAAAAAAACGGAAACAAAACGAACGGAAUCAGCAGCAACAUUAAGGCAGUGAGCCAUUUUACAGGAAGAAUGAGCACAGGGCAGGAAUAAA